GGAUGAAGAACGUAGCGAAAUGCGAUAAGUAAUGUGAAUUGCAGAAUUCAGUGAAUCAUCGAAUCUUUGAACGCACAUUGCGCCCGCCAGUAUUCUGGCGGGCAUGCCUGUUCGAGCGUCAUUACAACCCUCAGGCCCCCGGGCCUGGCGUUGGGGAUCGGCGGAGCCCCCCGUGGGCACACGCCGUCCCCCAAAUGCAGUGGCGGUCCCGCCGCAGCUUCCAUCGCGUAGUAGCUAACACCUCGCGACUGGAGAGCGGCGCGGCCACGCCGUAAAACACCCAACUCUUCUGAAGUUGACCUGGAAUCAGGUAGGAAUACCCGCUGAACUUAAGCAUAUCAAUAAGCGGAGGA
rnacentral:misc_RNA from 1 species